AGCUGGGGGUGCUAGGAGGUGCAGCGGGGAGGAGAAGCCAGCCUGCAGUCAGAAGCACUUCUACUAAGCAACUCUAGCAAUUGCCUGAAGAGAUCUCAGAGAAAGGGAUCUGAAUUACCAAGGCCUCAAGCAUGACUGCUGAAGCAAAGCAAAACCCAAAGAUAAACAGCCUUCGGCAUGAGUGUGAAUCCUGGUGCUUGGCCAGGUACCUGACUCCUGACAAACACCUAACCCGUGUGAGCCGCAGUCCUGCCCUCAUCUUUAAAGUGGAGAGAACGGUGUCUCCAUCUCAGGAUGGUGGGAGCUUCAGAACGAACGCGUAGAAAGU